rnacentral:rRNA from 1 species
GAGUUUGAUCAUGGCUCAGAUUGAACGCUGGCGGUAUGCUUAACACAUGCAAGUCGAACGGUAACAGGAGAGAGCUCGCUCUUUUGCUGACGAGUGGCGGACGGGUGAGUAAUGCGUAGGAAUCUGCCUAGUAGUGGGGGACAACGUGUGGAAACGCACGCUAAUACCGCAUACGCCCUACGGGGAAAGCGGGGGAUCUUCGGACCUCGCGCUAUUAGAUGAGCCUACGUUAGAUUAGCUAGUUGGUGGGGUAAAGGCCUACCAAGGCGACGAUCUAUAGCUGGUCUGAGAGGAUGAUCAGCCACACUGGGACUGAGACACGGCCCAGACUCCUACGGGAGGCAGCAGUGGGGAAUAUUGGACAAUGGGCGAAAGCCUGAUCCAGCAAUACCGCGUGUGUGAAGAAGGCCUGA